AGGGAAGCCGAAUAUAAACGUAGGCUUCUUGAUGCUGCUGCUGCUAAACAAGCUUCAAGAAGAACGGAUAUUGCAUGAGAGUCGCUAGACCAGACAGCGAGGAGACGGAAGAUUAGUCGUGUGAUCGAUCUAAUACGACCUCAUUUCUUCUAGAACAUAUUUGGAUAUUGUGCUACUUGCAUCAAUUUUUGUUUUAUAAAUCUACAAUUGUGUGUGGGUGAAUUGCGUUUAUAAUUGAACAAUUUGUUGGGGAUCGCACCUACUAACAAACAUGAGAAUCAUCAAA